AUUGAACGCUGGCGGCAGGCCUAACACAUGCCAGUCGAACGGUAACAGGAAGAAGCUUGCUUCUUUGCUGACGGGUGGCGGACGGGCGAGUAAUGUCUGGGAAACUGCCUGAUGGAGGGGGAUAACUACUGGAAACGGUAGCUAAUACCGCAUAACGUCGCAAGACCAAAAAGGGGGACCUUCGGGCCUCUUGCCAUCGGAUGUGCCCAGAUGGGAUUAGCUAGUAGGUGGGGUAACGGCUCACCUAGGCGACGAUCCCUAGCUGGUCUGAGAGGAUGACCAGCCACACUGGAACUGAGACACGGUCCAGACUCCUACGGGAGGCAGCAGUGGGGAAUAUUGCACAAUGGGCGCAAGCCUGAUGCAGCCAUGCCGCGUGUAUGAAGAAGGCCUUCGGGUUGUAAAGUACUUUCAGCGGGGAGGAAGGGAGUAAAGUUAAUACCUUUGCUCAUUGACGUUACCCGCAGAAGAAGCACCGGCUAACUCCGUG
rnacentral:rRNA from 1 species